rnacentral:rRNA from 1 species
UACGUAGGACCCGAGCGUUGUCCGGAAUUACUGGGUAUAAAGGGUGCGUAGGCGGGUUGGUACGUCAGAGGUUAAAGACUGCAGCUUAACUGCAGCGUUGCCUUUGAAACGGCUGAUCUUGAAUAUGAGAGAGGAUGAUAGAAUUCCUGGUGUAGCGGUGAAAUGCGUAGAUAUCAGGAGGAAUACCGGUGGCGAAGGCGGUCAUCUGGCUCAUUAUUGACGUUGAGGCACGAAAGCGUGGGUAGCGAACAGGAUUAGAUACC